GCUGCCAGUUUCUGGGGAAUCAUACAUAGACAGCACCAUGUUGCUGCAUAUGGAUGUUUAUGAGAAAAUAGGCCAUACAUAUACUCUGUUACAGCAGCACCCUGAUACCCCAGCUACUGAACACCCCACCACUUUUGCAACUGCUGAACCACAACCAACCUCUACCCCACACUUCUCAGCAGACAUGUUAUCCAUCUUAAAAUCCUUGGAAUCCAGGAUAACAAAUUUCACUGUCCAACCAUCUGCUCCCUCACCUGAUACCACAGAAAUUCUUGCUUCCUUGAAAAACUUAGAAAUCAAAAUUGAAGCCAUGGGUCAAGAGCAAGUUAACCAAAAGAAGAAGCUAGAAAAGAAACUUAAAAAGAGAUUUUUAUCUCUUAAAAAGAAACAGAAGCAACAUCAACUUCAAAUGUUGGAGCUUUACAACAAACUGGCCCAAUCCUACAACAACUUAUAUCAUUGGGGCCAAACCAUGUUUCAAGAAAUGAAAGACCUCACAGAAAAUUUGGAAACUGCUUCUGAAGCUUCAGAUCACAAUGAACCUACCGCAGAACCUGAAGCAGACCCUGAUACAGCAACC
rnacentral:misc_RNA from 1 species